CCUACGGGUGGCAGCAGUGAGGAAUAUUGGUCAAUGGACGAGAGUCUGAACCAGCCAAGUAGCGUGAAGGAUGACUGCCCUAUGGGUUGUAAACUUCUUUUAUAUGGGAAUAAAAUGUUCCACGUGUGGGAUUUUGUAUGUACCAUAUGAAUAAGGAUCGGCUAACUCCGUGCCAGCAGCCGCGGUAAUACGGAGGAUACGAGCGUUAUCAGGAUUUAUUGGGUUUAAAGGGAGCGUAGGUGGAUUGUUAAGUCAGUUGUGAAAGUUUGCGGCUCAACCGUAAAAGUGCAGUUGAAACUGGCAGUCUUGAGUACAGUAGAGGUGGGCGGAAUUCGUGGUGUAGCGGUGAAAUGCUUAGAUAUCACGAAGAACUCCGAUUGCGAAGGCAGUUCACUGGACUGCAACUGACACUGAGGCUCGAAAGUGUGGGUAUCAAACAGGAUUAGAUACCCGAGUAGUC
rnacentral:rRNA from 1 species